GAUGAAGAACGCAGCGAAAUGCGAUAACUAAUGUGAAUUGCAGAAUUCAGUGAAUCAUCGAGUCUUUGAACGCACAUUGCGCCCCCUGGUAUUCCGGGGGGCGUGCCUGUCCGAGCGUCAUUGCUGCCCUCAAGCACGGCUUGUGUGUUGGGCUCCGUCCCCCCGGGGACGGGCCCGAAAGGCAGCGGCGGCACCGAGUCCGGUCCUCGAGCGUAUGGGGCUUUGUCACCCGCUCUGUAGGCCCGGCCGGCGCCAGCCGACAACCCAUCAUCCUUUUCAGGUUGACCUCGGAUCAGGUAGGGAUACCCGCUGAACUUAAGCAUAUCAAUAAGCGGAGGA
rnacentral:misc_RNA from 1 species